rnacentral:piRNA from 1 species
UUGCUGUUGAAUCCUCGGGGGCCAC